CAAAUACUCCCUCCGUCCCAAAAUUCUUGUCUUAGAUUAGUCUAGAUACAAAUGUAUCUAAUACUAAAAUGUGACUUGAUACAUUCGUAUUUAGACAAAUCUAAGACAAGAAUUUUGGGACAGAUGGAGUAUUUC
rfam:Triticum urartu cultivar G1812 contig1455070, whole genome shotgun sequence.